GAUGAACGCUGGCGGCGUGCUUAACACAUGCAAGUCGAACGAGAAUCAACGGAUUGAGGAUUCGUCCAAAUGAAGUUGAGGAAAGUGGCGGACGGGUGAGUAACGCGUGAGGAAACCUGCCUCGGAGUGGGGAAUAACAGUUGGAAACAGCUGCUAAUACCGCAUAAGCGCACAGUACCGCACGGUACGGUGUGAAAAACUCCGGUGGUAUGAGAUGGACCCGCGUCUGAUUAGCUAGUUGGUAAGGUAACGGCUUACCAAGGCGACGAUCAGUAGCCGACCUGAGAGGGUGACCGGCCACAUUGGGACUGAGACACGGCCCAA
rnacentral:rRNA from 1 species